rnacentral:misc_RNA from 1 species
AAAAAAAAAAAAAAAAAAAGCAAGUUAGUCUAAGUUUGAGUGACAACUUUCACAUAGAGGUUGAAAAAAAAUACAGAAACCUUCUUGAUGCUCCUCAGGUUGCAAGCAAAAGCAUUGCAAGAACCAUCGACAACAAUACUUAUAUGGUGUUACUUGACACAGCUGAGGAACAUGGAAUUUUUAGUCUAGCUGUAGUUAUAUGUGUAGCUUAAUCUUCACUGGAACUUGAUUAAGCAAAGGCCUGCCAUAAAACGAGUACAGCAGCUGGAUUUAAAAAAAUAAAAAAUGAAGAAAGAAAAUCACAUAUUACAUUCAAGUUUUAAUUAAUGAUUACAUUCUAGUUUUUAAUUUCAUUGCUGUUAUUAAAAAUGCAGGGUGC